UACGUAGGGUGCAAGCGUUAAUCGGAAUUACUGGGCGUCAAGCGUGCGCAGGCGGUUUUGUAAGUCUGGCGUGAAAUCCCCGGGCUCAACCUGGGAAUUGCGAUGGAGACUGCAAGGCUAGAAUCUGGCAGAGGGGGGUAGAAUUCCACGUGUAGCAGUGAAAUGCGUAGAGAUGUGGAGGAACACCGAUGGCGAAGGCAGCCCCCUGGGUCAAGAUUGACGCUCAUGCACGAAAGCGUGGGGAGCAAACAGG
rnacentral:rRNA from 1 species